rnacentral:rRNA from 1 species
AGCAGCCGCGGUAAUUCCAGCUCCAAUAGCGUAUAUUAAAGUUGUUGCAGUUAAAAAGCUCGUAGUUGAAUUUCGGGAUUGACACAUCGGUCGUGCCUUAAGGGGUAUGAACUGGUGUAGUCAAUUUCUCACCUUCUGGAGAACCGCGAUGCCCUUAAUUGGGUGUCACGGGGAACCAGGACCUUUACUUUGAAAAAAUUAGAGUGUUUAAAGCAGGCUAUUUUGCUU